UACGGAGGGUGCAAGCAUUAAUCGGAUUUAUUGGGCGUAAAGGGCGCGUAGGCGGACGUGUAAGUCAGAUGUGAAAUCCCGGGGCUCAACCCCGGAACAGCAUUUGAAACUGCACAUCUUGAGGGUAGGCGGAGAAAAUGGAAUUCCACAAGUAGCGGUGAAAUGCGUAGAUAUGUGGAAGAACACCAGUGGCGAAGGCGGUUUUCUAGCUUACUCCUGACGCUGAGGCGCGAAAGCAAGGGGAUCAAACAGG
rnacentral:rRNA from 1 species